GCGGCGGCGGCGGCCAUGGCCGGGGGGCGGCGGGGGCCGGGAGCGCUGGCGGAGCCGCGGCGGCUGAUGCGCUCGGGCCUGGGGCUGAUCGUGCUGGGCCACGGCAGCCUCGUGCUGGGCGCCAUCGUGCACGGCUCGGUCCUGCGGCACGUGGCCGGCGCCCGCCGCGUUGUCACGCCCGAAUACGCGGCGGCCAACGUGGUGUCGGUGUGCUCGGGGCUGCUGAGCAUCGCCGCGGGCAUCGUCGCCAUCCUGGUGUCGCACAACCUGUCCCGGGCGGCUCUGCACUGGACCCUGCUGAGCAUCUCUGUGCUGAGCUGCCUCCUCUCCACCGCCUGCAGCGCGGGGCUGGCUCUGGCCGUCGCGCUCACGGUGCACGGCCGGGGCACGCACCUGGUCAGGGGCUGCAACAGCUCCGCGCUGCCUCUGGAUGCCCGGGCAGCCAUCGCGACCAACGACUGUCCCUUCAACACCACGCGCAUCUAUGACACAGCCCUGGCACUCUGGUUUCCCUCCCUGCUGCUGGCAGCUGCAGAAGCCGUGCUCUCAGGCCGGUGCUGUUUAGUGGCUCUCGUUUUCCAGGGCGUCGGGCCCUGUGCACGCAGCUAUGGCAAAGAGCAGGUACGCCCCACUGAGCUGGAUGGAUCUCUCUGUGUCUCCUCCAUGAUUGCUGCCUUUGUGCUGCAUUUGGAAGGUGCUGGGUUCUGCUGGGAACAAGGAGGCUGUGCAGUAGUUGGGGAGGAUGCUGAGUUGGAACCUCUUCUAACCAGCCUAAGGGCCAGACCAGCAUCUCUUCAUGGGGAGUUGCAGAGGGAUCCUCUUCUUCAUCCCCCUGAUGGCCAGGCCAAGUACAGCAAUGGAGAAGCCACUCCGUGAGAGGCAGCAGCUCCUGGCAGGACUUGCUGAGUCUCCUGUGUAGCUGGAGAGGUGCUGCUGCAGGAGUGCUGUGAUCCAGCAAGGUCGGGGAAAAGGCGAUUCACACCUUCUGCAGUGCUGGUGUGCAUAAAGCGGUCUGCAGGGGUGAGGGCUGUGCCUUCCUCCCUCCCCCCAGCUCCACCACCCCAGCUGGGACAGACCCUGCAGGUCAGCAGGUGCCGUGGGCCCCAGAUGCUCUCCCAUCUCUCCCCAGGCUGCCAGGCCCUUCCUGCUGUGCUGAAGGCUCCGCUGGUUCCUGGCAGCAGUGAUGGGGUGGGCAGAGGUGCUGGGACCCAAGUCCUGGUGCCAUUGCAGGCAUGGCAGCUGGCUGUGCCUGUGCUCAGACAUCUCAGGGAACAGAAGGGGAAGAAUCCCUUUUGUGUGGAUCUCAAAUUUUCUUCAAUAAAUAAACUUUUCUUUUCCACA